rnacentral:rRNA from 1 species
GACGAACGCUUUCGGCGUGCUUAACACAUGCAAGUCGAACGGAAAGGCCCUGCUUUUGUGGGGUGCUCGAGUGGCGAACGGGUGAGUAACACGAGAGUAACCUGCCCUUGACUUUGGGAUAACUUCAGGAAACUGGGGCUAAUACCGGAUAGGAGCUCCUGCUGCAUGGUGGGGGUUGGAAAGUUUCGGCGGUUGGGGAUGGACUCGCGGCUUAUCAGCUUGUUGGUGGGGUAGUGGCUUACCAAGGCUUUGACGGGUAGCCGGCCUGAGAGGGUGACCGGCCACAUUGGGACUGAGAUACGGCCCAGACUCCUACGGGAGGCAGCAGUGGGGAAUAUUGCACAAUGGGCGGAAGCCUGAUGCAGCAACGCCGCGUGCGGGAUGACGGCCUUCGGGUUGUAAACCGCUUUCGCCUGUGACGAAGCGUGAGUGACGGUAAUGGGUAAAGAAGCACCGGCUAACUACGUGCCAGCAGCCGCGGUGAUACGUAGGGUGCGAGCGUUGUCCGGAUUUAUUGGGCGUAAAGGGCUCGUAGGUGGUUGAUCGCGUCGGAAGUGUAAUCUUGGGGCUUAACCCUGAGCGUGCUUUCGAUACGGGUUGACUUGAGGAAGGUAGGGGAGAAUGGAAUUCCUGGUGGAGCGGUGGAAUGCGCAGAUAUCAGGAGGAACACCAGUGGCGAAGGCGGUUCUCUGGGCCUUUCCUGACGCUGAGGAGCGAAAGCGUGGGGAGCGAACAGGCUUAGAUACCCUGGUAGUCCACGCUGUAAACGGUGGGUACUAGGUGUGGGGUCCAUUCCACGGGUUCCGUGCCGUAGCUAACGCUUUAAGUACCCCGCCUGGGGAGUACGGCCGCAAGGCUAAAACUCAAAGGAAUUGACGGGGCCCCGCACAAGCGGCGGAGCAUGCGGAUUAAUUCGAUGCAACGCGUAGAACCUUACCUGGGUUUGACAUGGAUCGGGAGUGCUCAGAGAUGGGUGUGCCUCUUUUGGGGUCGGUUCACAGGUGGUGCAUGGCUGUCGUCAGCUCGUGUCGUGAGAUGUUGGGUUAAGUCCCGCAACGAGCGCAACCCUUGUUCACUGUUGCCAGCACGUUAUGGUGGGGACUCAGUGGAGACCGCCGGGGUCAACUCGGAGGAAGGUGGGGAUGACGUCAAGUCAUCAUGCCCCUUAUGUCCAGGGCUUCACGCAUGCUACAAUGGCUGGUACAGAGAGUGGCGAGCCUGUGAGGGUGAGCGAAUCUCGGAAAGCCGGUCUCAGUUCGGAUUGGGGUCUGCAACUCGACCUCAUGAAGUCGGAGUCGCUAGUAAUCGCAGAUCAGCAACGCUGCGGUGAAUACGUUCCCGGGGCU